UGGGGAAUAUUGCACAAUGGGCGAAAGCCUGAUGCAGCAACGCCGCGUGAGUGAUGAAGGUCUUCGGAUUGUAAAGCUCUGUCUUUUGGGACGAUAAUGACGGUACCAAAGGAGGAAGCCACGGCUAACUACGUGCCAGCAGCCGCGGUAAUACGUAGGUGGCGAGCGUUGUCCGGAUUUACUGGGCGUAAAGGGUGCGUAGGCGGAUGUUUAAGUGAGAUGUGAAAUACCCGGGCUUAACUUGGGUGCUGCAUUUCAAACUGGAUAUCUAGAGUGCAGGAGAGGAGAAUGGAAUUCCUAGUGUAGCGGUGAAAUGCGUAGAGAUUAGGAAGAACACCAGUGGCGAAGGCGAUUCUCUGGACUGUAACUGACGCUGAGGCACGAAAGCGUGGGUAGCAAACAGGAUUAGAUACCCUGGUAGUCCACGCCGUAAACGAUGAGUACUAGGUGUAGGAGGUAUCGACCCCUUCUGUCCGCAGUAAACACAUUAAGUACUCCGCCUGGGAAGUACGAUCGCAAGAUUAAAAC
rnacentral:rRNA from 1 species